rnacentral:rRNA from 1 species
AUUGAACGCUGGCGGCAUGGAUUAGGCAUGCAAGUCGAACGAUGAAGCAGUGCUUGCACUGUGAAUUAGUGGCGAAAGGGUGAGUAACACGUGAGUAAUCUGCCUUCAACUCGGGGAUAGCCUUUGGAAACGAAGAUUAAUACCGGAUGUGAAGUUUAAAUCGCAUGAUUUUAACUUAAAAUUUUGGUGAGAUGGGCUCGCGUCCCAUUAGCUAGUUGGUAAGGUAACGGCUUACCAAGGCAACGACGGGUAGGUGGUCUGAGAGGAUGGUCACCCACACUGGAACUGAGACACUGUCCAGACUCCUACGGGAGCUGCAGUCGAGAAUCUUCCGCAAUGGGCAAAGCCUGAC